GAAGGAGAAUCUCAGUCCACCUUGCUUCUCUCUCCAUUUAGACUCUAAACAGAGGUAGGGGUAAAAUCAUCUAAGAAAAUCCAGGGUCAGAGGAGUGGAGACUGAAGAGGAGAGCCCUUGUUGUGAGCAGCGAGCGGCUGGCAGGAAAUGCCACCUGAGCCAGCAGCCAGACCCUGCCUGGCAGGUACCACGAGGCCUGUUCCCUGGCACAGAAGCCAGAAAGCCAGUGGAAGUAGAGAGGAGUUCCAUUGUCCUGGAGCUUGGCUGUCACAGGUCUCCUGAACCAGGCUACUCAUUGGAAGCAGGGAUCUUCCAAUCCCCGUGACUCAGGCAAUGAGACAUCCAUUAAGCCUAAUAAGAGAUAACUGGUUCAUUUAGUACAAAUUGCCCUCCCCCCGACACUUCCCCUGCCCUAUUGGAGCUGGAAUAUGAAGCAAUGGAAGGGGAAGGGCUGAAAAUGGGUGGUGUGGAAUGGAUCCCAGUCAUUCGCAGGCAAUGCUGGCACACGGUGGAUAUAUACACCGGGAACCCGUCUUUGCCAAGGUCAUUCUUUCUAAGCCCCUGCCUCUGAGCAACUUCAACCCACCCAAAACAUUUCUCCCUAAAUAUUUUGGAUACUUCUCAGUAGACAGUCCUUUAUGGUGGCUAGCCUCUGGUCUUUCUCCUUCAAUAGCAGCACUGCUUCCUAAGUGUCCUCUGACACCCAUGCCCCAUCCAUGGAGCCUGACCUCCUUCGUCUACCAUCUUCCCCUUCUGUAGGAGGCCUAAGAUGGCCACUUAACCCCACUGCUGUCCAGGGUACCUAGUUUCUGUUGCGUGUCUUACUGGCAUCCUCAUGUCUUAAUGUAUCAGGGAUCUGGGCUUCCUUGGAAUAUCUUCUUUGCUCUGCACAGAUGUCAGAGAGGGUGAACAACUAUCAUUUCAACUGCUGAGACCCCUGUUCCUUGGCAAGAUAUCAAGCAUAGGUGGCAAAACUGAGAUGAGGAAACGCCAGUCCCCAGGCCCAGAAUUCUUCUUCACUUUUUUUACAGGGCCAGAUACUCUUUACAGAGAGGCCAGCCUAGCUGGACCCAGGCUCAAGGCCCCCUGGCCACUAAGGAGAGGUCUGGGGUACUUAGACUGAUGCUGUCUUUCCUCUUGCCCCACUCUCCCCUCAGAUUGCAGAUUAAAGACUUUUUCCACUGCCAUAUGGCGGUCCCCUGCCCCUGCCCUUUUUCUUGUACAUCUCAAAAGCUGGGCAACUUAAGGAAAAGGAGCAGAAGAGAAAUAAACUGGUAUAAUAGCAGGAAAUCUCAAGGCUGAAUAUCUGGAAGGACUUAUGCAGUACCUGGGCUGUGAGAUACAAAAGUGGAGAAGGGAUGAAGAGCCCCCUUUGCUGGGAGGACUUUGGAAGAAGGGGUACAUCUCUCACUCUCACUGCUCUGGGCUAUAGUCUGCAGCAGGGGAAGAGACAAGGUGACCUCUGGUGAUCCCUUGCCCUUGGGGACUCAAGGUUUCCUUUAAGGUCAGGAUUAUUUUCCAAGCUGAGAAUAAGGAUCUCACCCUUUCUCUCCUCUGUCUCUGGUAAGCAGCAGGGACACAAUACUCCACCUCUCUAGGGGGGAAAAGGACAAUUUAUAGAAUUGUUCUGCUGUUCUUAGCCCUCAUUGAGACAAAGAAUUCAUUUCUGUCUCUCAAGGUGGCUUCUCCUGCUUAUGGUCAUAAAUUGCCUUCCUGCUCACUCCCUGACCUCUUGAUCUUUUUGCUUUUGUGCUAAAAAAAAUUAUUAAUAUUUCUCUUAACUCCAUAUAUAACCUUUGGCUGUUUCUCUCCUUUAUUCUAGGUGAAGUAGCAUCCUUAGGGAUUACUUCCUCCGCCUUCGCGCCUGCCUGCUUCUGUUGGGGCAGGGCUCUGUGCAUGAGGAUGAAGACAAAUCUACAGGAGGAAGAUUCAAAAGAUCUCUGUUUGGGGAAGCUCUAAAACUGAAAAAUAAUCACAGCUAACAUUUACUGAGCAUAUGCUGCAUGCCUAGUAUUGUUCUAAGGGCUGUAUGGAUAUGAACUCAAUCCUCACAACUACCCCAUAAUGUAACUACUAUUAUUAUCCCUGUUUUCAUAUGAAAAAAACAAGAACUAGAGAGGUUAGCUACAUAAAAUGUCCAAGGUCACACAGAAAGGAAGGGAAAGAACCUAGAUUUGAAUCCCUGUCUGGUUUCAGGGCCCAUGUGCUUUGCUGUCAACUACUCUGCAAGGUACCUCUCUGAUAGGGAGGGACUUACCCAGCUUUCGCUCUACCCUCAGGGAGCUCCAGAAUGGUGUGACAUGCAUAUUCCUUGCCCCUCAAGAAUCCCCAAGUUUGAUAGGGGAGGCAGAUAUCCUGUCCUAGGAAGAUAUGUCCAGUCUGAUGGAAAAGACACAAGCUUUAUCUUUGGAUCAUCUGACUAAUACUAGGGACUCAGCCCCAGGAUGUCUACAGUUUGAUGAGUUAUGUUAUUAGAUUCUAAGAGACUCAGUUAAUUCGACUAGACAAAAUUGUGAGCCUUAGUGUUAAAGAGACGAGGAUGGAGCAAAGUUAGGGCAGCUUAAUUGGGGUUGCCCCAGGAGGGGAGGGUGAUACAAGAUUGGCAAUAAGCAGAAGAAAUGCUAGUGGAGAUAAGAGGGCAGGACACUUGUGUGGUGUGCAGACUUGCUGAAGACAAUGUCUGGAAAGCAGGGGUUUGCUUAGUUUAGCAGCUCUCUACCUUGGCUGUCUACUAGAAUCACCUGGAGCUAUGUCUAAAAAUACUGAUGCUUGAACUUCACCCCAGAACAAUUAAUCUUUAGGGAUGAGGGCAUGGCACUGGUGUUUUUAAACAGCCCUCAGGGCAGGGCAUGGUGGCUCAUGCCUGUAACCACAGCACUUUGGGAGGCUGAGGCGGGUGGAUCACCUGAGAUCAGGAGUUCGAGACCAGCUUGGCCAACAUGGCGAAAUGCUGUCUCUACUAAAAAUACAAAAACUACCCAGGCAUGGUGGCACACACCUGUAAUCCCAGCUACUUGGGAGGCUGUGGCAGGAGAAUCACUUGAACCCGGGAGGCGGAGGUUACAGUGAGCUGAGAUCAUGCCACGGCACUCCAGCCCAGGUGACAGAUCUAAACUCCAUCUCAAAAAAUUAAAAAAUAAUAAUAAUAAAAUUAAAGGCCCUCAGGAGGUGCUAUGCACAACUGGUGUUGAGGACCACUGGCUGGGGAUGAGGUCUAUGGUGUCUUAAGCUCUGAGAUCUGGGAUGCUGGAUGACUUAUGUGGAAGAAAUUCUAGAGACAUGAGUUUGCUAUGAACUGAGCUGGUGAAGAUUUGGAAUUAAAGGAAAGGGGGAGGGAAAAGAAAAGCUAAAGGACCAGAGGAGACAGGCCAGAUUGUUGUUUUCGCUGUUAGUGAGCUAGAGAAACUUGGUUCCUCUGUUUCUAGGCUUUUGAGGCAAAAUAAAAGGCCCACAAAAAUCCAAAAGGUCUGAUAACCCAGUCCCUUCUCAUAAAAAGAAUAGCUAUCAAGCCUGAUAUCAGACAUGGAGAUUAGGCAGGAAACACUGAGCUAAGAAUAUUCCCUUCCUUCGAUUAAAGACCUUUUUUUUUAAAUUAAUGCUCUCCUAGGCCGAGUGUGGUGGCUCACACCUGUAACCCCAGUACUUUGGGAGGCCGAGGCAGGCAAAUCACUUGAGGUCAGCAGUUCAAGACCAGCCUGGCCAACAUGGUGAAACCCCAUCUCUACUAAAAAUACAGAAAUUAGCUGGGCAUGGUGGCGGGUGCCUGUAAUCCCAGCUACUCAAGAGGCUGAGGCAGGAGAAUCGCUUGAACCCAGGAGAUGGAGGUUGCAGUGAGCCAAGAUCAUGCCACUACACUCCAGCCUGGGUGACAGAGUGCAACUCCUUCAAAAAAAAAAAAGAAAGAAAAGAAAAGAAAAGAAAACACACACACACCAAAAAUAAUACUUUCCUAAGUCAGGGUCACCCUCGCCUUCCCCUCCAUACACCAUCAUGUGGAGUGGAAAGGAGAAAAGGCUGUCUCGCUGACAUGUCCGGAGCUCCCUACCUCAGGGUUUUUGCCUUUGCUGCUACCAUCUUCCUGCUGCAUUCUUCCCUCAGACGCCUGAGCAGCUAAACCCUCAGUUCCUUCAGGUCUGUGCCCAAAUGUGGCUGUAGCAGAACAGCUUUCUUUGAUUACCUGUAAGAACAGUAAUUCCUCCCUCUCUCCCUCUCCCUAAUCUUUUAUCCUGCUUUAUUUGUCCCCCAUAGCAUUUACCAUAACCUAGUAUAUUUCAUAUUUUUUUCUACUGCCUCUGACUUUCCUCCAGAAUGGAACAUUAAAGGGAAAGACUUUGUCCUUUUUUUUUUAUUAUUAUUGUCUCCCCAAAGCCUAGAAUGGUGACUGGAAAAUAGCAGUCUGGAGCUGAAAAAAUAUCUGUGGAAUGUAUGAUUAAUGAAUGAACAAAUGAAAAGCCUUAUGUGUCUGUGUGUUGGUGUCUUUCUGUGUACGUUUGGGAUUGCAGUCCUAUUUCUCUGGCCAAAGUAUGGCUCUAUUCUUAAGCUGUGCUUGCCUGUGUUUUGGAAUAUAUGAAGAAUUCUCUGGGUCUGUGCAUAUGGGGC
rnacentral:lncRNA from 10 species